AUACGAAGGGUGCAAGCGUUAAUCGGAAUUACUGGGCGUAAAGCGCGCGUAGGUGGUUCAGCAAGUUGGAUGUGAAAGCCCCGGGCUCAACCUGGGAACUGCAUCCAAAACUACUGAGCUAGAGUACGGUAGAGGGUGGUGGAAUUUCCUGUGUAGCGGUGAAAUGCGUAGAUAUAGGAAGGAACACCAGUGGCGAAGGCGACCACCUGGACUGAUACUGACACUGAGGUGAGAAAGCGGGGGGAGAAAACAGGAUUAGAUACCCUGGUAGUCCACGCCGUAAACGAUGUCAACUAGUUGUUGGGUUCCUUGAGAACUUAGUAACGAAGCUAACGCGAUAAGUUGACCGCCUGGGGAGUACGGCCGCAAGGUUAAAUCUCAAAUGAAUUGACGGGG
rnacentral:rRNA from 1 species